rnacentral:rRNA from 1 species
CGUUGAAAAGUGCGGGGAUGAGGUGUGGGUAGCGGAGAAAUUCCAAUCGAACUUGGAGAUAGCUGGUUCUCUCCGAAAUAGCUUUAGGGCUAGCCUCGAGGUAAAGAGUCAUGGAGGUAGAGCACUGUUUGGACUAGGGGCCCUUCUCGGGUUACCGAAUUCAGAUAAACUCCGAAUGCCAUGUACUUAUACUCGGGAGUCAGACUGCGAGUGAUAAGAUCCGUAGUCGAAAGGGAAACAGCCCAGACCACCAGUUAAGGUCCCCAAAUAUAUGUUAAGUGGAAAAGGAUGUGGGGUUGCUUAGACAACCAGGAUGUUGGCUUAGAAGCAGCCACCAUUGAAAGAGUGCGUAAUAGCUCACUGGUCGAGUGACCCCGCGCCGAAAAUGUACCGGGGCUAAACAUAUUACCGAAACUGUGGAUGAACCUCUUUAGAGGUUCGUGGUAGGAGAGCGUUCUAAGGGCGGUGAAGUCAGACCGGAAGGACUGGUGGAGCGCUUAGAAGUGAGAAUGCCGGUAUGAGUAGCGAAAGAAGGGUGAGAAUCCCUUCCACCGAAUAUCUAAGGUUUCCUGAGGAAGGCUCGUCCGCUCAGGGUUAGUCGGGACCUAAGCCGAGGCCGAUAGGCGUAGGCGAUGGACAACAGGUAGAGAUUCCUGUACCAGUGCUAAUUGUUUAACCGAUGGGGUGACACAGAAGGAUAGGGAAUCGCACGAAUGGAAA